rnacentral:lncRNA from 1 species
GUGAGAAUGUUGGCAGUAAAUCCUGAACUCUAGGGAGGUGGGUGAGCUCCAGUGCGAUGAAUGACCCAUUAAUUUAUGAGAAGCUUGGGUACACGCUGCAGGGCAGGACAGAGCUGAAGGCACCGGACCAUAAUGUGACCCACAGAGGCAAGAUAAACAGCACCUCUAGAUAUUAAGAAGAGUAAAGCAAGUUAUGGGGACCCAGAGGCUAGAGAAGAAUUAUACGAUGCCAAAGAAUUUUGGAAAAUUUUGGAAUUUUCAGGUCAGAAGAAGGAAUGAGUUUCCAUACGAUGUGCUGCUUGGACACUAGAAGUUAUCCUUGUACAGGAACUCCGAGGCGAUUUGAAGGACACAUGUCCCUGCUGAGCCCUUGCUGCUCAGAGAUAAAAUCCCCACAGGUUAUUUAUGCAUAA